rnacentral:lncRNA from 1 species
GAACCAAAAUCGGUGGAACCUACAUUCGAUAAUGCAGCAAAUCAUUAAUUAGGUGGACUAGAGGAACUAAUAAUUUUAUAGAGUUUUGUUAAGUAGUUUUUAGGUAGGUAUCCAUUGUGUGUUUGUGAGGAUGCUACACAGAUAGAAGUGGGGCUAUGUAGAAUAGAUAUUAAUUUUUUUUUGUAAGAUAUUGAUAAAAUAGAUUAAUAGUCUAUAGAAUAGUCAAUUCAAGAGAACAGAUGGUUGAUCUAGUUAUUAAAAGCGGUUAAUUACAGGAUUACAGUUAGGAUCUGGAAAUCAGUAGCAAUUAUGUAGGAGUUGUAGAAGUUUGUUGGGGGGUUAGACUGUGAUAGUCAAAAACUGGGGUUAAGUUUGGUGCUACCUCUU